CAGAGAUUUAAGUGGGCUCAUUAGCAGAGAUGGGGAUGUAGGGAGAGGAGAGAAAUGGCAGGGGAAAGACAGAGAGAGGGAGAGAGUGAGAAAGGAGGAAAUGAGGCCAAAGGAUAAAGGAAUCAUUUUCGUAAAGGUAAGAAUUAAUGAGAGGCUUGUGCGUGGAAAGCUAAUUAAUUUAACAAUGAAAGGCUUUGGGGACUGAGUUAUAACUUUUAGGACUUUAUCACAUUAUUAAAGUAAAAGUUUACUAUUGCUAACCAAUUGGGAUUGUAAGUUACUUAACUGCAUUUCAAAACCUAGAGGAAAUGGAUUCUGCCAAUACGUAAUGCACACUAUGCUGUUGCACUUGUUGUGCAGACUGUUAGCCUUGAGGAUGGCAGGCAAUUUAUCGUAGAGUGAAAGCAGCAUUUGCCAUCCUAUGCUAAUGAAGUCAUCAUUUAUUCCAGAGUACUUUCCUUUUUUUUUUUCUUCUCCUCCUCUUCACCAUCCAUCAAUCAUCUAAGGAACGAGGUAUUAUCUUUGUGGUCAUUUUAUAUUCAGUCUCCCCUCAGAUGGGCGGACGCUCUCACAUACACACGCAGUCAUUUUAGUUAAAUCAAAAAAAUCAAAUCUGCUCCAGCACAGGUUGAAUAAUUGAUGUGUUAUGUUAAAAAAGGAAUGAAAUAAUCAUAGCCUGUUGGAUGUUGGAGGAACAUCAAACCCGGGGCUGGAGCUUGGCAGACGAGGCAGAGCAGGGUAGGGGCCUUAUGUAUUUGGGACGGCUGCCCUGUGAAAUAAUAAUGAACAGCAAAGAGUUGGUGGAUUAGGAGAUUUUUGUUCUGCACUGUACCUGACACUUUGUGCGUGCCCACCCAUGCUUUUUACAGCAUUACCCUGGUACAUCUAUCAGACAUUAAUACAAAAUGACUCGCUGAAAUAGUUGGGUUUAGUGGGCAGGGGAACCAUUCCUGAAAAAAAAAUAGAUACAGAGCUUUAGUAGAGCAUGGCACAAGGUGCAUACAGACAAGUGCUGACCUAAAGGAGAGACACUGGAGCAAUUCUACAUGUAAUCUUAAAUCCCAUUACCUAUCAUCUGAUCAUGAUACAUAGCUUCUUGAAAAUGGCAAAUAUUGGGUUUAAGAAUCAAAUUUCCCUUUUAAUGUGCACAUCCUUGUUCACAGGGACCCAUAAGAUAGGUUUGAUGACAGUAUGUUAAAUGGACUGUACUUAUAUAGUGCUUCCUCCAGUCUCACAUUAUAUCCACCCAUUCACAUCAGAUUCAUUCACUGAUGGCAGCGGCUGCUAUGUCAAGUGCCCAUCAGUAACAACUAAUCCGAUUCACACAACCACACACCAUUGGCACAGCCAUCCAAGAGCAUUUGGGGUUCAGUGACUUGCCCAAGGACACUUUGGGAUGCGGACAGCCAGCACCCGGAUUUGGCUGCCAACUUUGUGACUGAGAGAUGACCAACUCUAUCACUGAGCUACAGUUGCCCUAUGUAUGCCUCUGGAAGCUACAGUUGUCUUUGAAUUAAUACAGGUGAAGCCAUCAGUGAGUAAAAAAGCCUUUUUGAUGAAGACAUUCUUGUCGAUGCAUUUCCAAAGUUUCACUGAGACGAGAAACGUAAGAGAUGAGGCUGAAAGUGGUUUUGAGACAAAAUGUUGGUGACACGACUUAUGGCAGCAUAUGUAUGAAUAUAUAUAUACAUAUAUAAGACAAAAAAAGAUAUUGUUGGACUACCACAAAAGACUUCUUGGAUUUCACUCUUGCAGACUGGUUUCAACAAAAAUAGUUGUCAAAACACACUACUUUACUGUGUACAGUAAGAGCUGCAGAAAUGGUAGGGCGUAAUACUACUUGGACCAUGAACUGAGAAGAGACUGAACCUAAAACUUCUACAGUAAUGUUUAGAGACAACACUGAUGACCAAAGUCACGACCACACGUCUCUUUGCAUAUUUUCUGAUGAGUUCAGCAACUUCUACUCUUCACACAUGCCAGCAAUGCCUGCAAGACUAAAAAACUUCAACACUUUGAUCCCAAAACAGCCCAAUGUCUUUGUGUUCAUACACAUGCAAAUCUUUUUAAAAGACAUAAUUCUGCGAACAAGGCAUGUCAGGAACCAAGCAACAGUGCAGCAGAGAGGUGGCAUCAUAGACUGUAUAUAGAAUGGACGCCGUCUGCCUCCUCGCAGGGUGCAGCAGAGAGGUGGCAUCCCCUAGCAAUCCUUAUGGAGUUCUCGAUAAACUGUAGACAUUUAUAACACAGAAUAUAAAAUUGUCUCCCCCCUGCUUGCAAUGUUGACAUGUAGUUAUUGUAAGACUGGUUUGUGCUCAAGUCCUCUUUUUUCUGUACAGCUCCAUUUUUUAAAGUUAUUAGGGGGUUCAUGUUUUCUAUGAUUGACACUUGAUACAGCCUAUGGGUGUAACAAGUUUUCGUAGUUUUCACAGCGACUCUCCCGCUGAAUGUGCACAAUGCUACUGCACAAGUGGUGGAUUGCGUACAACGCUACUGCGAAAUGUUGGUUUCAGGAAGUGGAGAAAAAACGCAAAAUUACAGAGAGCUUUUUGGCUUCAAGUCCGUAUACUGUGAAAGGCAGAACCAAGACGUCCAUAGCAUAAACAGUCUAUGGGUGGCAUCAUUCACAGACUUUAUUUAAUUUGCUCAUUAAUGUUAGUAGGCUGAUAUUUAAUUCAACUAAGAAACAGAUCUAAUGAGUCAUAAUGAAUCAGCUACCAAAGAGUGUCUCAUAGCCAGACAAACUAACGACAAACUAAUAAGUAUUCUUUGUAUCUCUCUGAAUGCUUAAAGUUGAGCUGACUUUAGACAUGCCUUAUUAUGAAUUUUAACUGUAAGCUUUCUUGUGCUAUAAGCUCACCACACGGCUGAAAUUGAAUCAUAUCUGCUUGUUUGCAUCUGAAGACCAGUGGGCCCCAUUUUCAAAGCUAUGAACGUCAGCCAGGAAUACGUAUAUACUGUCAACUCUCAAAUGGCUGCCCACACACAAACACAAACAGAGUAUGCAUCAUGGUUUCAAAUGUAACCGUUUCUAUGUUGGGGACCGCCUUUUAAGAUUGUCCCCAUUUGGGAAGUAACAGCAGUGCAUGAUGAAUACAUUCAUUCCAAACUCCAGUGAGAGCUGUUCAGCCGUGCAUCUCUGACCGAUAGAUUUUCAUGAUUGUAUGCCGGCUCUACAGUAUAGAUUUUCCCAUAUUGCAGCAGAGGGAUAUCGAUGUUUAUUAUUAUUACUCUUUCAUUUUCCCAUUUGCCAUCUGCAUUUUUUGCCCACCAGUUCCAAUUUGCGUUUAAUGAAUGAUCUGAGGGAAUGGGAGGCGGUGGGGUCAAAAGAUGCAUUUCCUCUCUUUUCCGAUGAGGGAUUUGGAUUUAGGAUUUUAUAGAUACUUGGAUAUUAUGUACACAAAUAAAGGACACAGUUUGACCUACAUGAUGAGUUACUGGAGAGAAAAAGAGGAGCGGGAGUGAGUGAUAAGAAAGCGUCCUUGAAACAAAUUGCUCUGGAAGAAAAAAAAGAGCAGAUUGUGAAUCAGUGUUGUUGUUUUUUCCCUCAAUCACAUUGAAAAUGAGCUUAUUUAGGGCCAUGACCCCAAAUAAUCUCUCUGUAUAAUUGUGUGACUGAGUGGGAGCAAACAGACAAAACUUGAAAUAAAAUGUCUGAUUCAUUAAAAGAUAAUGGGAUGAAAUUUGAUCAGCUUCCAUCAAGAUUUUCCAAAUUCAGAGUACCAAACCUUUUAAUUGAUGGCUUAGGGUUUAACACUUGCAAAUUUCAACACAUUAUCUACAGUCCCUUCUUUGCUUUAGCCAUUAAAACUCCCCCACCACCCAGUUUCUGAGCCCGCUGACUAAAUAGUCUUCUACUCAGGGGGCUUAUUUUAUUAAUUCACUGUUUCCUCUGUUACAGGCCCCCUUCUCUGUAGUCCAGAUUGCGGGAAGACCACCUUACAGGGAUUUUCCCCUUCAGCAGGUAAGCAUAAAAGAAGAAAAGAAGCACAUUAUCCGCAUGUACGACAAACCCUCAAACACACAUGCACGCUCAACGUGCCCUGGGCUUCACAAUGCUGACCACCAGCACAGAGGGAAACACACACACACACUCACAAACACGCACAGCAUAUUAUCUUUAUGAGGUGUUAUACACGACUGACCACCAACACAGGGGUCUCAGUGUUCUCUAAUCCACACUCGGGCUGAAAAGGCCGCUCCAUGCAAUGGGGGGAUUACACUGGCGGAUUAAUGGGACUUUUAAUUUGAGUCAUUGUAAGUGCCCUCGAUAUUAAGAAUAGGUGUAGGAAAGAAUACCACUGUCUCUAUAAGAUAUCAUUAAAUGUGUUACUACUGUACAUUUAAUCGGCUGUGCUUACAGCUAUGACACACACACACACACACACACACACACACCCACUGCACGUGUGUUAGCUGCAGAGGACUGAAAAAGGAAAUAAAGAAGCUGUAGAGGGCCAGAAAAUGUACUGCUGUUGACAUUAAACUACUGCGGUUAUGACACUACCACCACAUACUCAUCUACAUAAACGAUCACAUUGCUGCUAUAAUUGCUUUUUUUUAUAACUAUUGUUACACAGGAGGUUGGACAAUGUUGCAUUAAAAGUUGUAAAGCAGCUUUAUAGUAGCUGGCAGUGAGCUAGCUGUAUGUACUAUGGUCUGUGUUUAUAAGCUGCACCAUCGACUGGAAAUUAAAAUGGACGGUGUGCCCCUGCACUCAAAGUGAGGCAAAAACUGCGGUGCUAUGUAUGCUAAGGUAUUCACUGCUAAUCUAUCCUGCAGCCAGCCACCAGUGGUGCAUCACUUUAAGGGAACUCUUGGGCUAUCUAAGGUUUAUAAAGUCAAAGAGCUGUACCAGCUGGUCUUACCCACCAAGAUAAAACUGAACAACACCAAUCUUGUGUAUCAAUAAAAGCUGAUGCCUAAAGCAAAUAACAUUUAUUUUUAACUGGCACACAAACACAAACAGGGAAAAGGUAAAAGCCAGUAGUUACUUUUCUAAAAAUUUUCAGUUGUUUCGUCAUUAACAUUUUGAACAAAAUGACCGCCUUAAUCGCCUCUUUUUUCCCACUGUAAAGGCAAAAUACUUACUGCAGUGGGCUAAGUUUUGAUUCUGACAUUUUUUGCAAACACUGUCUACACUAAAGGGGUUGUGCUAACAUCAAAUAUACCGUCAACCCAGCCGACAGCUUCUUGAGUUGGUUUGAAGUCGACAUUUAUAGUUGUGGAAAGUUAACGCACCCUUGUUUCAGUGUUUGUUACAUUUCCUCCUGAUUUUCCUCUUUUAUUCCCUUUUUGGUUACACACAGAAUAGCAGAGCUGACCAUCACGAAAGUACGCCCUCCUUUAUGGUACUAAAUGACCAACCCCAUUUAGAAAAAUUAACACUCAGACUUAAUCAGCAUAAUGACCUGUAACACAGCAUGCCAGAAGAGGGCGCUCCAAAUAUUUUCAUCUUUUUAUAAAGUUGAUGCUCCAAAUAAAAACCUGUAUUCUUUGCAUAUUGGGUAAACAAACAACAGCUGCUGAUAAAUAUGGUGGAUAAGCCCCUUAAAUAUCAAGUAUGCACCAUGCUUGAUGCUCAUCACAGAGCACCUACUCCUAUCACUGCUGCUGUUUCAUCAUUUUCACCAUAACUAAUGGGGAUUCAAUUAUCUUAAGUAUUGGGUAAUAAUUCUAAGUAUGAAGUUAUUUAGGUUAUUUAGUUAUUUAAGUUAUUUAUUAGGUAUUAAUAUACUAUAAAUACAUUUACAGUAGACUUAUUUAUACUAGAGAAUUUCUGCUUCUUUUGAGGAAAUGAUGUAAAGAAAGGAAGGAAGGAAAAUGGCGAACAGGCCCGAUGAACUGAAGCAAAGUGAAGAAAGCUUGAUGAAUGGAUGGAUGACUGGAUACAGGGAGGGAGUGGAAAAGAGGGCUGUUUACCAUUCCUAAAGGCAACAAUAAAACCAUGGAUUUAAGCAUAAACAAGGGCAAACAAAGGCAGGCUUACAGAAUAACACUGUAUUUUCUCUGAGUCAUUCUCCUCUCUUUCUUCUGUGCCUCCUUCCACAAACCUGAAGGCUGAAUGCAUGUACUCCCUUUAAGUAAGGAAGUAUGAAAGCUGUGAAAGCACAAAGUACAAAAAGAGAGGAAUUGGAUGUUAAUUAAAUCACAUUAGAUUAAUGAUAUUAUGCACAAGGUCAGCUUGGUGCAUCCUGAUCUCCCUGGGAAAGAGAAUAAAACAACCAAACCUGAAACCUCAGUAGUUGUUGAUCCACUUUACUUAUUAAAACCACCCUGUUGAACUUGCCCUUCAAAAACCCGAAUAGCUGUCUGAAAACUGCUGGUUGGAAUUUUAAUCAAUCCCUGUCCUCAAAAUUAAAGUUCAAAAGCAGACACACGUCUCAAACAACAGAGAGGAACAUGAACAUUGAUCAUUUUUAAUCCCUCUGUGUCUUUAGCCUGGAAACCAGAAGAAUUUGUGAGCUCAUGUUUUCUUUUUUUAUUUAUUUUUUAUUCUUUUCU
rnacentral:lncRNA from 1 species